AAUUCUCAACCAUGCCUUUAUUGGAGGGCAUGGCUUGGAGUUUGGGGGGUUGCUGGCGUCGAAGGACGGGUCGGCUCUCCUGAAAUGUAUUAGCGAUGGACAAGCAGGUCUUUCGACGUGCAUGGCCUUCCGACGUGAUAACGAUCGUCGUGGCUGGAGCGUCAGACAUCGACCUUGCCUCAAAUCGCUUCCAAUCACGGACCGAGUCAAGCUUAGCUACUAGUUGGUCUCAGACUGGCGAACGCGGCUCAAGCUCGAGUCAAUGAAU
rnacentral:misc_RNA from 1 species